rnacentral:rRNA from 1 species
UACGUAGGGGGCAAGCGUUGUCCGGAAUCAUUGGGCGUAAAGCGCGUGUAGGCGGCCAUCCAAGUCUGGUGUGAAAGCUCGGGGCUCAACCCCGAGUCUGCACUGGAAACUGGAUGGCUUGAGUCCGGAAGAGGAGACUGGAAUUCCUGGUGUAGCGGUGAAAUGCGCAGAUAUCAGGAAGAACACCGGUGGCGAAGGCGGGUCUCUGGGACGGUACUGACGCUGAGACGCGAAAGCGUGGGGAGCAAACAGG